UCACUGAGCAAAAAAUUGCAUUUACAAAAACUCUUUUGUAAACCUAGGAUUAAAUAUAAUCCCGUUGUGGGACACAAUAUCAACUGUUGCGAUAACUUCAAGUUAACUCUAACUUGAAAACUCUAAGUACCUAAUACAAUUGCUUUUGUAAAAGCUGAAAGGUGCAAUGUAAAAUCUCUACUACAAUUGAACUAGAGUAAAAGUUAGACACUUGGAACUGGUUCUUUUAUCUGGUUCAAGUAGCUUCAGAAUUGCACGUGUGAAGCACGUAAAUUGCUUGCAUAAAUGCAAGGACAUAAACCAAAUGAACCAUUCCCGGUUCCACCAAGUCUUUCAGCAAUCUUCCCUUCAAAAUUUUUCUUUUGCCAAACUUGGCCAGCUUGUCUUGUUUACCAUCAAACUCGCUCUCUUCUUCACCACUCCAUUCCUCAUCUUUAGAAACUCUAACUUGUUUUUUUUUCACUGCAAACCUUGUGCUCUUGGCCAAUGAAGGUUCAAUAGCCUUAGACUCAGAUGAAGAAUUCGUGGAAGUGUUCUUGGUCUUUUUGGUCUUGGGGUUUGAACCUCCAUUGUUGUAUAUUCGUCCAGAUGGAACUGUUCCAUCUCCUCAAUAUCAACAACAUCAAAGUACUCUUCAACCUUACAUUUUCCUUUAUCCAUCCUCUUCUUCUUACUUUCCGCCAAUGUUUUUUGUAAUUCACUCUCAAUCUGUUUCACUCGACUUCGUGUGGUUCUUCCCUUUGGAAACGAAAUUUCAGUAGUUAUUUGGGAGGAAGCCUUUCUUUUCUUGGAAGGUUUU
rnacentral:lncRNA from 1 species